rnacentral:tRNA from 1 species
GGCUCGGUAGCUCAGUGGUAGAGCACUCGUUUCAUAAGCGAUAGGUCGGGAGUUCGAACCUCCCCCGAGCCA